UACGGAGGGUGCAAGCGUUAAUCGGAAUUACUGGGCGUAAAGCGCGCGUAGGUGGUUGCAUAAGUCGAUUGUGAAAGCCCCGGGCUUAACCUGGGAAUUGCAUUCGAUACUGUUCAGCUAGAGUGUGGUAGAGGGAAGCGGAAUUCCGGGUGUAGCGGAUGAAUGCGUAGAUAUCCGGAGGAACACCAGUGGCGAAGGCGGCUUCCCUGGACCAACACUGACACUGAGGCGCGGAAAGCGUGGGGAGCAAACAGGG
rnacentral:rRNA from 1 species